rnacentral:rRNA from 1 species
GAUACCCUGGUAGUCCACGCAGUAAACGAUGAAUACUAACUGUCCGGGACGAUUGAGUCCUGGGUGGUACAGCGAAAGCGUUAAGUAUUCCACCUGGGGAGUACGCCGGCAACGGUGAAACUCAAAGGAACUGACGGGGGCCCGCACAAGCGGGGGAACAUGUGGUUUAAUUCGAUGAUACGCGAGGAACCUUACCCGGGCUCAAACGUGGGAGGAAUGAGUGUGACAGCAUUCAGUCCUCCGGGACUUUCCACGAGGUGCUGCAUGGUUGUCGUCAGCUCGUGCCGUGAGGUGUCGGCUUAAGUGCCAUAACGAGCGCAACCCCCAUCGACAGUUGCUAACAGGUAAAGCUGAGGACUCUGUCGAGACUGCCGGCGCAAGCGGUGAGGAAGGCGGGGAUGACGUCAAAUCAGCACGGCCCUUACGUCCGGGGCGACACACGUGUUACAAUGGCAGGGACAGCGGGAAGGCAUCCCGCGACGGAGAGCGGAACCCGAAACCCUGUCUCAGUUCGGAUUGGAGUCUGCAACUCGACUCCAUGAAGCUGGAUUCGCUAGGUAUCGCGCAUCAGCCA